AUGACCCCCGCACGUAAAAUGAUGUAUGCAAACAUUUUAUCUCAUGUGGUUGGUACGUGUUAGGACAGUCAGAUAAUUUUGGAAUUUAAAGGAAGGGAAGGUCACCGUGAAGAACAUUCAAAUCAAAUUUACUUCAUUCUUUCAGGAGAAAAAUAAAACACAGGGAAAUGUACAAACUAUUCAUGACUGCCUUUCCAGCAGGUCUGGUUGUUGUCUGCUUAAUUCUACAAUUUAUGGUUUAGGUGCUAAUGCACAGGACUGCCAAACUGCUAAACUACAGGCUUGCGUUGAAAGCUUCAGGUCUGAUGUGUUAUCAGCGGGCCGCGACAAAACAAGACUGUGCAGUGCCGCCAAUACCUAUUUGAAUUGCGUGAAUAAAGUUGUCAGUGACUGCAACCUGGACUCCAGCACACACUCAGUCAGCCAGGCAAUCACUGCUGCCAAACAUGAAUUAUCUCUAGCCGGAUGUGGAAAUGGUGCCAGUGGAUCAGUUUACAGUAUCUUGACCAUUGUUGUAGGAAUUUGCCUUCAUAGACUGUUUUAAAAAAUCAUCACAACUUCGAGUGUUUUAAGGUAGUAAAAUUCCCAUAUGACGUCAUGCGGUUUUUCAAAAUUGUUAUCUAUAGGUACUUUCAGAAUUUCAUUCCAUGUUAAAUUACUGAGGAAGUUUAUAUUUUCUACAAAUAAUCAAUUAGUAGUAUCUGUAUCUACAUGUAUAUCUAAAAAUAAUGUUUUCAUGGGCAAUAACUACUACUGUCUCUGUUGUUUAUCUAUUGUGAAUAGCUUUCGCUGAUAUCCAUAAUUAAUUCAUAUACUUUUUCAAAAGUGAAAUUGUUGAAAUUAGAAUUUUGCCAUUUUAACCAAUUGUAUGUAUAAAUAUUAAAAGUAGCAUUAUUACUAUUAUUAGUAUGUUGUUAAAUGAAAAUAUACGAUUUUCUGAUGUUGACAUAUAUUUCACUCAAUGUAUAUCUGAUAUCUUUUUGUAGGUAAUAGCACAUUUUUUCUCUCGUUAUUGAUUGAAUUGUACUAUAUGUAUAUUAAGGUAGCUCCACACACGCAGUUUUAUCUGAUAAGUUUAAAAGGUGUAUUUAUUUUCAUUCAUUAGAGUUAUAACUAACAAAUUAUCCAAUAAAAUACAUAGGUCAUCACACUUUUUAAGAUGCGAGGCGUAUAUAAACAGAAUAGUAUAUCACCGUCAGAAACUUACAAUUACAACAGUGUUAUCAAAAUUUCAUACAAACUGGUUAUGACGAUAUAAUAGCAUUCGUACCAAUGUCAUGAAACUGUAUCUUCACCAAAAUAUAGAAAAUGUCUGUAAAAAAUAAAGGAAAUCUUUCUUGAUAAAGAAAUCAAUAAAAAAAACCCAGAGUUAUUGCCCCUGGAUACAAGAUUUUAAAACAUAUAAUGUAUUAUUCAUCAAUAACUUAGACUUUUGAAAUAGUUUACUUUUAACAAUAUUUUUUACAAUAACUAUUGGAAAAGACUUUAACAAAUUUGAUGUUCCUAUCAUGCAUACAUCUAAAUAAAUCAUUGAUUUUGCAAAAUCGGAUGACAUCGCAGGAGGGUGGAAUUACUUUAAGUGAAAGUUAGUUUUUCAACCUUGAACCAUUAAUUUUGAUAGAUAACUCAAGGAUGGAGCCACGUUGUUGAACAACUAUACCUAAAUAUUCCAAUGAGACCGUGGGUGUACUUAGUAUAUUUUAAUAUGUUCAAACAAGUAAUUAUAUCAUUUUGAAUGUGUGCUGACUUUAUGUAUUGUGAAAUAAAACCUUUAUCUACA